UACGAGAGGCCCAAACGUUAUUCGGAAUUACUGGGCUUAAAGAGUUCGUAGGCGGCAUGAAAAGUAGGGUGUGAAAGCCCUCGGCUCAACCGAGGAAUUGCGCUCUAAACUGUCGUGCUCGAGGAAUCUAGAGGUGAGCGGAACUGAUGGUGGAGCGGUGAAAUGCGUUGAUAUCAUCAGGAACACCGGAGGCGAAGGCGGCUCACUGGGGAUUUCUGACGCUGAGGAACGGAAAGC
rnacentral:rRNA from 1 species